rnacentral:lncRNA from 1 species
CGCGCAUUGAGCCUUUCCUUCAAGAACUCGAAAAGAAUCUGACAAUCAUAUCAAACACUGUUAAUGAAAGAGUCCGGACUCGGAUGGUUGCGGACAUAAUGAGAGCAUCCUUUGAUGGUUUCCUUUUGGUUUUGCUUGCUGGAGGACCUUCUAAGGCUUUCACUCAGCAGGAUUCACAAAUUAUAGAGGACGAUUUCAAGUCCCUCAAAGAUGUAUUCUGGGCAAAUGGGGAUGGAUUGCCCGUGGAUGUGAUAACCAAAUACUCAACAACAGUAAGGGAUGUACUUCCUCUUUUGAUUUUCCUUUGAUGGUUUCCUUUUGGUUUUGCUUGCUGGAGGACCUUCUAGGGCUUUCACCCAGCAGGAUUCACAAAUUAUAGAGGACGAUUUCAAGUCCCUCAAAGAUGUAUUCUGGGCAAAUGGGGACGGAUUGCCUGUGGAUGUGAUAAACAAAUACUCAACCACAGUAAGGGAUGUACUUCCUCUUUUCCGGGCUGAUGCAGAGAGCCUCAUCGAGCGCUUCAGGCGAUUAACUUUGGAAACUUAUGGUUCAUCCGCAAAAUCGAGGCUUCCGUUGCCGCCUACAUCAGGGCAAUGGAACCCAACUGAACCAAACACCC